GGCUACGAAAGGAUCAUUGCCCUCCUACCUUUGACAUGUUUUCGCCCUUUUCAUUCGCACUUUACACGCGGUGUACACAUUCCCCAUUUAAGCAGAAAUGUUGUGAUAACUUCCUUGGGAUAUUGCUGCCUUAAGGAAUAUGAAAGGAGUAAGGAAUUGGCUGUUGCAGAGAGCGCGCCCAGCGGCAUUGAAACAUCUUAUACAUAAUUAAAAGGUACUGUCAAAAGUAAACAAAACAAUGCAUUAGAAUUCCAAAGCAUUCAAAACACACGGUGACUGUAAUAUAUAGACAUCAGCACUGGAGACGCCGUAAAAGGAGGCCUCGGAAACCAUGACAGCGUGAAUACAUAGAGAAUGUUCUUUAUCGAUGGAAAAAUAGAUCUCCUGCAAAAUAAUGAAAUAGGUUUGCAAUAUUUUUUGUAAUAAUGGCUUUAGCAGAAUGAGUGAUCUGGC